UAAAAAAUUUGGCGGUAUUUUAGUCUAUUCAGAGGAACCUGUUCUAUAAUCGAUAAUCCACGAUGGACCUCACUUAGAUUUGUAUUUAAUUUAUAUACCGUCGUUAUUAGAAUAUUUUAUAAAAAUGUUAAUUUUCAUAAUUUAUAAAAAUAAAAUAUAUCAGAUCAAGGUGUAGUUUAUAUUUAAGAAGAAAUGGGUUACAAUAAAUUUAUUUAUAUGGAUAUAAAUUUGAAAUAUUUAUUGAAAGUGGAUUUGAUGGUAAAAUUAUAAAGAUUAAUAAUUUGAUUUUAGCUCUAAAAUAUGUACAUAUCGCCCGUCACUCUUAUUAUUAAGGUAAGAUAAGUCGUAACAUAGUAGAUGUACUGGAAAGUGUAUCUAGAAUGCAAUUUAAAGCUUUAGUUAGUAAAGUAUUUCAUUUACAUUGAAAAGAUUUUUGUGCAAAUCAAUAUAAAUUGAUUAGAUUUUAUUUAUUAAUUUUUUUUUUAUUAUUAAUUUAAUUUAUUAAAAAUAAUUAUAAAAAGAUUUGUUUUAGUAUUUUAUAAAUAAAAAAUAAUUUUAAUUAUAGUGUAAUAGUAUUGUGAAAGAAAAUUGAAAUAUUUUGAAAAAUUAUUAUUUU
rnacentral:rRNA from 1 species